CUCAAGCAGAAGGACUCAUCAGAUUCGAUACGUCGAUUCAUUCCCUCCCUCGCACGUGCAUCAAAAAGAGAUGCAAAUGGCAUCUCUUCUGAAUUUAGAUUAAACCAAAAUUUAUCAUGUGGAAAGAGGAUUCAAAUUUGAAUUUAGAUGAUAAGAUAAGCAGAUAAGGGGCACCUCCUUCUACCAAAAGCAGAAGGACUCUUCAUGUGACUCUUCGCAUGAUCUGCUUCUCACGUGCAUGCGCCAACAAUUCCAAAGAGUUCCACACCCAAUCAAAAAACCAAAUCAUGCUUUAAAGUAUGUGCCA
rnacentral:lncRNA from 1 species